AGGGCCCAGGGAGGCUGAACCUAGCAGGUUUGGUCCCGAUUUGCAUGCUUGGCGGGUACCGAGGUCCGCCACGGCCAAGCUGCCAGGGUACCUCUUGAUAUCUUGGCAAGGGUUUCUUUACGCUGUGGCACUCGUGCCUUUGGGGGCUUUGUGUCUGUGUGCAACUGUAUAGCUAGCAGCUAGGGGACCCUCGCCUCCCAGCUCCUCGUUCUCUCAGCUCGUUCGUCGCAGCCCAGCAGCUAGACGCGCGUCAGCUGCUCAAGGGAUGGAGCAAACCGAGGUGCUCAAGCCACGCACCCUGGCGGAUCUGAUCCGCAUACUGCACCAGCUCUUCGCCAGCGAAGAGGUCAACGUGGAGGAGGUGCAGGCAGUCAUGGAAGCCUAUGAGAGCGACCCCGCGGAGUGGGCCAUGUACGCCAAGUUCGACCAGUACAGGUACACCCGAAAUCUUGUGGAUCAAGGAAAUGGAAAAUUUAAUCUAAUGAUUCUAUGUUGGGGUGAAGGACAUGGCAGCAGUAUCCAUGAUCACACCGACUCCCACUGCUUUCUGAAGAUGCUGCAAGGAAAUCUAAAGGAGACAUUAUUUGCCUGGCCUGACAAAAAAUCCAACGAGAUGAUCAAGAAGUCUGAAAGAAUCUUGAGGGAAAACCAGUGUGCCUACAUCAACGGUAACAUUCAAUCCAUUUUUCUAACAGCAAGUGGGAAAAACCUUCAACUCCCAUCUAAAGUACUGCUUACUUACACGUGUGCAUUAGAACUUGGAUCAUGGAAUCAUGAUUUCAUCUGCUUAGAAGCUGUGGGGUGUUUGGUUUUUUUUUUUAAAGCUUGGAAUCACUUAUUAAAAACAUAUGCACACAGUUUAGCAUCCAUUGAAAAGACAUUAACCUACCAAGUCUUAGAACAGUUAGAACUAAACAUGAAUUUACAUAAGUAGAGUCUUAAUAUAGGCAUGAGGCCAAGUUGAAAGUAUUCGUCUUUGGUUAGAAAAUGUAAAGAAAUGUUCUGGAAGUGAUUUAGCAUGCUAGCUAGUCCCUGUUUUACUAAAGUGCAUACAGCUUAAAGAGUAUUCUCAAGAGAAACUUUACAAAGUACAUUAUUUAGCAGUGAUUUAUAGAUCUCUUACAAAGAAUUCAUUCUUUCCCUUAAAUGUGAUAUGAGAGAGACAGAUGUUCUUCAGCAGAGGCAGUGGCUAAUGUCUGUAUUCCUGAAGGACUUCAUCACUUUCCAGAAAGCUGCUUAAAGCUUCUAUGAAAUAACUUUUCUAUUCCCAUUUACAAAUGAAAUUGCCAACACAUGGGAAAAUUAACCUGUCCAAGGUCACUCAGGAUUUGAAUCCCCAAAAAUUUAAUUCCAAAGUCCAUAGUCUUAGUUGGAAUGCUGUCCCACUUAUGUAAAAUACUACAGAGAUUUUUCUGGCACACUAAGUUCUUUUGUCUUAAAGUUUAAUAUUGGCCUUGAUACUUGGCCUAAAAUUUGUUCAUUAGUUUAAGAAUGCAAGUCACUUAGAUUUGAUUGUAUAGGAAGUUUUUCCCCCAUUCACAUAACACAAAGGGGUUCCUUUUUCAGGUAGCAGGAAACAUUUGAGGGUUGCUAUUUAUAGAAGGCACACCAGAUUUCCAGUACUGCUCACAAUAAAGCCAAAAGCCUUUUCAGCUAGAGUUACAGAGUAUUUGGGAAGCUAGGUUAGACCUUGAAGAACACGUAAAAAAUUUUUUUUCAAGAGUCCUCAAUGCAAAAGUCUCUAGGAGCCAAGCAGGUAAGGUGAGUGGAAUAAGCCAGAAAUAGGCUGUGGGGACUGGUGUGCAAGCCACCCUGCCUAAAGAGACAACAGUGGCCACCCAGCUACAAUGAAAUCGUCUUGACUUCUUUUUCCAUAGAGGUGGGAAAUUUUGCCAAUCAGAAAAAGAUUGGUUUAGGAUAAGCCAAAUAUUUCUGCAGAGUAAUUACUCAAAAGCCACAAAUUUUUAACUUUUGAUUUUUACAGAUUCAGGAAGAAGGCUAAAGAUGGAUAGUGAUCAGAAGGAAAGAUAUCUUGAGUAUAAAGAAGAGCAUGAGUGAAGGUCCAGCCAUUGCAAAGAAUGAAAACUAUGCAAGAAUGGUCUAGCUGGAGGGCAAAAAAAAUGGGUUUGGAUAGGAGAAGUGAGAUCAGGGCUUGAGCCUCUAAGACCAGCUUAGAGUAAGAUCUUUCUUUGGUCAACAGAAUUGUGUUUGGGAAUGUCUUGAUCACUUCAUUGGCAAUAUGAGUCAUUGGGUGAGGAAAGGGAGAAUUGGGACAAGGAGAUCAAUUUGCCUGUUGUAAUAGGCAAAAGAUGGACAUUGCCUGAAGCAAGCUGGCAUCCAUAGGUAUCACCAAGAAAGGGCCAAAGUAUUGUGGCAGAGGGUAAAUCAUGGGUGUAAAGAAAAAGGAGGCAAAGACAUAAUAAUGAUGAUGAUGAUGGGAUUAUUAAUAGGCAUCAAGCAUGAGCCUCAGGGGCUUCUCAAAAGGAUGGGUGACUUGUUUUUGUGAGAGCUUUGCUUGCCAUGGGUGGUCAGUGCAUUGAAAUUGGAAUUUGUAUAAAGGGAAGUCAUUUCUUUAGAGUCAUUAACUUUUGCUGAAGACUAUGCUUAAGCCAGUGUUCUUUUACAAGCAGUAAGCUAUAGAAUCGAAGAGCUGGCAGAUCUGAGAAUUCGGCCCUAGUUUUUAAAAUGAGUAAAACUGAAUUUCUGAGUUGGUCAAAGGUAGUCCCUCUAGCUGGAAUAAAGCCAAAGUCUUCUGCUUCUAGGCUUUGCUCUUCUUUGACAUGUGGACUAAUGGAGCUAUAUCAUAAAGCAGAAGACCAAAUAGGUGCCUGUACUAACUGCAGUAAUACACUGAAUUCCUUCCUUAAGUAAUCCUCAAAUUCUCUCCUUACUUUAUAAAUUCCUUAUCAACAUAGUUAUAAAAGUCAGAUAUUUUAUCUAUUUCUUGUAAUCUUUUGAAGGCAUCUCCCCAGGCCUUUUGACUUCCUUCAGCCAGGGCUCCACUGUCAUCCUGGGGUCCCAUUACAUCAUCCAGUCUUUCCCUUUGUUUUCUCCUAUUGCUGAUCCCCUGUUUGCUGAUCUUGUGUCUGCUUCAUUUUGACUCCAUGUCCUUGUUUUGGUAGAACAUACCCUUCAAAGCCCCUAUGAGAAAAGGUUCAUGGAAAGUAAAUUUUUCAGACCUUUGGUAUCUAAAAUUCUCUAUAUUCAACCUUUGCAAGUAGCUUGAUAGUUUAGCUGGAUGUGAAAUCACGACCUGACAGUCAUCUUCUCUCAGAAUUAUGAAAGUCAUCCUAUGUCUUUUAGUUUCCAGUCUUGUUGACAGCCUGAUACCAUCUUGAUUGUUGAAUCUAUGAAACCUCUUUUUCCUUUCUCAAAUUUUUUGGGGCCUUCUCUUUGGGUCUCUUCCACAUCCUCAGUAUCAUAGCCAUGCACUUGUUUCACGACACUCGCUACGCUGGAAGCUCAGGUUCUACAAUCCAUAAAUGCAUGUCCUUCACAUUAAGAAAAUAUUCUCAAGUUGUUACUUUGAUUUUGUUGUUGUUUCUGUUCUGUUUCUGAAACUCCUAUUGCUCAGAUAUUCAACCUUCUGAAGUAGUCUUCUGGUUUAGGAUUGUGGGGUUUUUUUUGGGGGGCGGGCAUUGGGGUUUUUUUUUUAAACCUUCUUAUAUUCUAUCUUUGGCCCUUUGGUUUUUGGUGGUGAUGGUGGGUUUUGUUUUGUUUUUGUUGAACCCAUGCCACAGUAGUAACCUGAGACACUGCAGUGACAACGCUGGUUCCUUAACCUGCUAAGCCCACAGGGAAUUCCUGUCCCCUUGUUCUUUGAGUCUUCCUCAGUUUUUUCUUCUAACUCUUCUACUCAGAUUUUUAUUUCUGCUAUCUUUUUAUUUCUAAAACCUCUUUAUUCUCUAGUCCUUUUUUUAAAUAGUAUUUUAUCUCUAUGAGGAUAUUGAUGAUAAGUUUUGGGUUUUAUUUUUUAAAGUCUUCCCUUGAGUAGUGUUUUAUUUCAAGUCAUCUUUUUUUUCAGGUUGUAUCUUUAUACUAGAGGCUCUGCUUGCAUGUCUAGUAACCUCAGCUGGGUGCUAAUAUUUAAAAAACCAGGACAAAAAAAUACAUUGGUAACUUUCACACAUGGAUAGUGUUGGUCAACUGGACUUCACUUCAGGAUAAUCUGGUAAAGCUUUUUCCUUGAGGAACAACCAGUGGCAAUCUUUUCAGGACUUCUUUCCUGGGCUGACCUGGUUCUCAGAGAAUCUGCUUCCCAUCUUCUGCAUGGAGAAGAAAUUCCUGUCUGGCAGCAUUCUGGUGGCUAUGUGGUGAAGAAAGUAGAGAUCUUACCACUCAGUGUGUAAAUUUUCAUUUAAGUCACCUUUUUUCACUGGGUAUCCACCAGUCCUGGAUUCAUCUGUUGUACUCUUUCUAGAGAAUAGAUCUCAGGCUUUUAUCAGGGGUGGAAGAAAGGCGAGGGAGAAGUGAUGAAAAGGGUUUAAGACAAAGCUUGAAUAGGUUUCAACCAGUUCUUAUUUAUUUAUUUAUUUGUCUUUUUAGGGCUGCACGCUCGGCAUGUGGAAGUUCCCAGGCUAGGGGUCGAAUCGAAGCUGUAACUACUGGCCUACUCCAUAGCCACAGCAAUGCCAGAUCCAAGCCAUAGUCUGUGAUAUAUACCACAGCUCAUGGCAAUGCCUGAUCCUUAUCCUGCUGAAUGAGGGCAGGGAUCGAACCUGUGUCAUCAUGGUUAUUUUCCGCUGAGCCAUGACAGGAACUCCCUCAACCAGAUCUUAUAUCUGUAGCCCCUCUUCACCUUCAUCUUAAGAAGUACCAGUACAGUUGCUGAGCUGUUUGUUAGUUUCAGGAUGUAAAUCAGGUUAUUUCCUGGCUGUCUCCAAGGACAACUGAGGAUUUAGCUUUCUCUCUUCUGCAAAGCCAUCUAUCUACUUUUUUUUUUUUUUUUUUUUUUUUUUUUUGUCUUUUUUGUCUUUUCAGGGCCACACCUGCAGCACAUGGAGGUUCCCAGCAAUGCGGGAUCUGAGCCGCAUCUACAACCUACACCACAGCUCAUAGCAACGCUGGAUCCUCAACCCAUUGAGGAAGGCCAGGGAUCGAACCCAAAACCUCAUUUGUUUUCACUGUGCCAUGGCAGGAAUCCCACCAUCCAUCUACUUUUAAGCUUUCAAGUUUUUUUUUUUUAAGUUAUUUUUUAAGUUUAAAAGUUUUCUCUUUUUCCGUUGUCUUGUAAUAUGGAUGCCUUUUUAUUCUUAUGCUGCAGUUGUAGGGGAGUUUUUAAGAAAAAGCAGAGUGUAUGUCAUUUAUUGUCUGUAACUCAAAAGUUCAGUUCUAAGUAAUUUUUAUUAAAUCCAUCAAAUUAUUAAGGAUCUUGGGCAAUGGACAAAGUUUUUACCUACAGCUGUCGUCUAACCUUCUUCACCUUUUCUUUCAUCGUGGAUAUUGUUUAGAUUCCAUUGGCUUACAUCGAGUAGAGAAUAUGAGUCACACAGAACCUGCUGUGAGCCUUCACUUGUACAGUCCACCCUUCGAUACGUGCCAUGCCUUUGAUCAAAGAACAGGACAUAAAAACAAAGUCACCAUGACAUUCCAUAGCAAAUUUGGAAUCAGGACUCCACUUGCAACUUCAGGGUCCCUGGAGAACAACUAAGGAGCACCAAACCCUCUGGAUGUUUUACUUCAAGGUCUGGUGAAAGUUUUGCCAUGGACGGGAAGGCUUCCCACCAUUUUCUUUCCAGUAAUACACUUUACAAAGCCAAUAUUUAGAUCUACUAUAAGGCAGAUGCUAAUUAUAAGGCAUUAAGUAAGCAAAUAGUGCCCUGAGCUACUAUAGAAGAAAAAAACUCCCACUAAGGAUAAAAAGGCUUGUGAUUUUAAAGGCCAGCUCAAGGCUCUACUGGUUUCACCCUCUAAAUCCAUUGGUACCAUCUGGAGAGUAUCAACAAAGGUUUUUAUAGUUUUUGGAAAUCCUUUGGUCUCUGAACUGUAAUUAGGAAUAAAUAAAAACAAGACAUCAAACCACCCACCUUGUUACUUCGAGAACUAAAUGUAGGUGUCUUCAGUAUACUUUGUACGUUCUUAAUGUUGGAAGAGAAUUUUUUGAAUCCGUGCAUUUUAUUUUUUCAAUCUUAUUUUACAAAUUCCUGUUCUAUAAAUAAUAGGGUAUUGUAGAUAGAGAAAGUUAAGGCACUUGGCCAUUUGAUAAUGAAAUGAAGGGCAGGAGCUUUAGAAAAGUACAUGUAUCCAAACCCACAACAAACCAAAAAUAUAAAUUCAUUCUAAUGUGUCCAGUGGUCAAAGACUUUGUACUGCUGCCAAAAUUGCCAAAUCAUUUUAAUAAAACUGGAUUUGAACAUAA